UCCAAGACCGGAAAUAAGCAAAUGUGUGCUC
rnacentral:piRNA from 1 species